ensembl:misc_RNA Y_RNA Y RNA
GGCUGGUCUGAAGGUAGUGGAUAACUCAAUUGAUUGUUCAGUCAGUUAUAGAUUGAGCUCCUUGUUUUACUCCUUCUCCCAUUCUCACUACUGCACUUGACUAGCAUUAA